rnacentral:rRNA from 1 species
GUUNUUAGCCGUGGCUUUCUGGUUGGAUACCGUCACGCCGACAACAGUUACUCUGCCGACCAUUCUUCUCCAACAACAGAGUUUUACGACCCGAAAGCCUUCUUCACUCACGCGGCGUUGCUCCAUCAGACUUGCGUCCAUUGUGGAAGAUUCCCUACUGCUGCCUCCCGUAGGAGUAGGGGGAAUCUUCCACAAUGGACGCANGUCUGAUGGAGCAACGCCGCGUGAGUGAAGAAGGCUUUCGGGUCGUAAAACUCUNUUGUUGGAGAAGAAUGGUCGGCAGAGUAACUGUUGUCGGCNNGACGGUNUCCAACCAGAAAGCCACGGNUAACUACNUGCCAGCAGCCGCGGUAAUACA